rnacentral:lncRNA from 1 species
CUUCCCUCUAUUUCUUUGUUCCGUCGGUCACAGAAGCAUCUGUUCCUGUGCCUUGGUCCAUCGGGAACAGAGGGAAGGAUGAUUGGGGGACCAGACCUGCGCAAGCCACUCCUGCCGACGUGGAGGGCGCCCGCCAGGACGCAGCCCCGCCUCGGAACGACGGAGCAACGCGGCAACGAAGGCAAGGCGUGGCCUGGCGCUGGCGGCAUGCCAUAGGCCUUUGACGGAGCCUGCGGCGGACUGGUGGCCAGACCAUGCGGAGCGGAGAUUGCUUGACGAAGCGUGAUCCAUUGCGGCUGGACGACGACUCAGGCGGCGGAUCAAUCCACCGCGGGAAAUCUACGAGGUGCUACCCGGCGGAGAUCGAUCUCCCCGAGGUUGCUGCGAUGGGCAGCAGAAGGUGUAGUUCAAGAUCAAAAAAAUCUCUAAGCUUGUGGUACCAUGUAGGAGGGAUAGAUUAUGUAAAAUGGAUUGUAUUGAUGUCUCGGCCGGUAUAUAUAGAGUACCAAAUUAGG